UGGGGAAUAUUGCACAAUGGGCGCAAGCCUGAUGCAGCCAUGCCGCGUGUGUGAAGAAGGCCUUCGGGUUGUAAAGCACUUUCAGCGAGGAGGAAGGUGGUGAACUUAAUACGUUCAUCAAUUGACGUUACUCGCAGAAGAAGCACCGGCUAACUCCGUGCCAGCAGCCGCGGUAAUACGGAGGGUGCAAGCGUUAAUCGGAAUUACUGGGCGUAAAGCGCACGCAGGCGGUUUGUUAAGUCAGAUGUGAAAUCCCCGGGCUCAACCUGGGAACUGCAUUUGAAACUGGCAAGCUAGAGUCUCGUAGAGGGGGGUAGAAUUCCAGGUGUAGCGGUGAAAUGCGUAGAGAUCUGGAGGAAUACCGGUGGCGAAGGCGGCCCCCUGGACGAAGACUGACGCUCAGGUGCGAAAGCGUGGGGAGCAAAACAGGAUUAGAUACCCUGGUAGUCCACGCUGUAAAACGAUGUCGAUUUUGGAGGUUGUGCCCUUGAGGCGUGGCUUCCGGAGCUAACGCGUUAAAUCGACCGCCUGGGGAGUACGGCCGCAAGGUUAAAACU
rnacentral:rRNA from 1 species